rnacentral:rRNA from 1 species
AUACGGAGGAUCCGAGCGUUAUCCGGAUUUAUUGGGUUUAAAGGGAGCGUAGGUGGACAUGUAAGUCAGUUGUGAAAGUUUGCGGCUCGACCGUAAAAUUGCAGUUGAUACUGUGUGUCUUGAGUACAGUAGAGGUGGGCGGAAUUCGUGGUGUAGCGGUGAAAUGCUUAGAUAUCACGAAGAACUCCGAUUGCGAAGGCAGCUCACUGGACUGUUACUGACACUGAGGCUCGAAAGUAUGGGUAUCAAACAGGAUUAGAUACCCUGGUAGUCCACACAGUAAACGAUGAAUACUCGCUGUUUGCGAUAUACGGCAAGCGGCCAAGCGAAAGCAUUAAGUAUUCCACCUGGGGAGUACGCCGGCAACGGUGAAACUCAAAUGAAUUGACGGGG